AUAUUUAAGUAGUAAUAGAUAUAGGCUUGAAACUUAAAGAAUUUGGCGGUAUUUUAAUCUUUUCAGAGGAACCUGUACUGUAAUCGAUAUUCCACGUUGAAUUUUACUAAAUUAUUUGUAUAUCGUUGUCGAAAAAAUAAAUUUUUUAAUAUUAAAAUUUUAAUAGAUGUCAAAUCAAGGUGCAGUUUAUAAUUUAGUAGUUAUGGGUUACAAUAAAUUUAUAUUUAGGAAUUUAAUGAAGGUGGAUUUGAAAGUAAAUUAAUUUUAAUAAAUUUAAUUGAUUAUAGUUCUAAAAUAUGU
rnacentral:rRNA from 1 species